rnacentral:lncRNA from 1 species
GUGAGAUGUCACUGGGUUCAGUGACAAUCUACCAACAAAGACAGAAGUUAAAACCCUAUGGUUUCCAUGGAGAUGAUUUCUUCUCAGACCAAGUGAUGCUUCUUUCUGCCUCUCCCUUCCCAUGAAUUUCUAUCUGGCUUGAGCUGGAGUAGUUGAGAGCUGACCAAUUCCUAGAGUCAGUAUACCUGAAAUCCUUUAUCAAGAUGAUCUUUAAAAAUACUUCACUCUCAUGUAAAA